rnacentral:rRNA from 1 species
GACGAACGCUGGCGGCAUGCCUAAUACAUGCAAGUCGAGCGAACAGAUGAAGUGCUUGCACUUCUGACGUUAGCGGCGAACGGGUGAGUAACACGUAAGGAAUCUACCUAUAAGCGGGGGAUAACAUUCGGAAACGGGUGCUAAUACCGCAUAAUAUCUUCUUCCGCAUGGAAGAAGAUUGAAAGACGGCUCUGCUGUCACUUAUAGAUGACCUUGCGGUGCAUUAGUUAGUUGGUGGGGUAACGGCCUACCAAGACGAUGAUGCAUAGCCGACCAGAGAGGGUGAUCGGCCACAUUGGGACUGAGACACGGCCCAAACUCCUACGGGAGGGAGCAGUAGGGAAUCUUCCGCAAUGGGCGAAAGCCUGACGGAGCAAUGCCGCGUGAGUGAAGAAGGCCUUCGGGUCGUAAAACUCUGUUAUAAGAGAAGAACAAAUUGUAGAGUAACUGCUACAGUCUUGACGGUAUCUUAUCAGAAAGCCACGGCUAACUACGUGCCAGCCGCCGCCGUAA